rnacentral:rRNA from 2 species
UACGUAGGGUGCAAGCGUUAUCCGGAUUUAUUGGGCGUAAAGAGCUCGUAGGCGGUUCGUCGCGUCUGGUGUGAAAGUCCAUCGCUUAACGGUGGAUCGGCGCCGGGUACGGGCGGACUGGAGUGCGGUAGGGGAGACUGGAAUUCCCGGUGUAACGGUGGAAUGUGUAGAUAUCGGGAAGAACACCGAUGGCGAAGGCAGGUCUCUGGGCCGUCACUGACGCUGAGGAGCGAAAGCGUGGGGAGCGAACAGG